ensembl:lncRNA
GACCGACGGCAUCCAGCUCUGUUGUGGAUGAGAGGGAUCGAGGCUGCCUCUCACAACAGCGCACCGUCGCAUUUACUCAUUAGUGACAAUCGACGACAUAACGUUACAAGAAGUAACUUUUGAAUCAGUUCGGAUAGGCCGAUCUUCUGUUAUUGGUGGCUGGGGGGGGGACGUUCCGGGCAGCAGCCUGCCAGCUGAUAUCAGGUUGUGAACGGACUCCCUGCAAGCGGGCACGUUGCACGCAGAACAGCGUUAUUCCGCCGCGGCUCGGACUACUGCACAACCCCGCUGGAUGACGCGGAUUAACUGAAGAAACGGAGGUGUCGCAUCUUAAGUGUUGUGCCUCUGCGGUGAUAAAUGUCAGCCAGUCCUGAUAUUUGCAUGGGUCUUUCUCCUCAACCGAAAGGUGAGUACUUCCUCUCCUCAAACGGACGUGCUGUGGUUCACUGUCACCACUAAACUCUUCUUACUAAGCUGUUGAAAACAGCACAUCUGGAGUCGUGAUGACGGAUUACACACGUGCAACAUGUGGUUUAGUGACUGGGGAACGCACAACUUUGGUGUCACAUUUUAUAGCGUGGCACAUUCAAAGAUAACGCAACACACUUUUAGAGCAAAAUACACAAUCUCUAUUGCACAUUUGUAUUUUAUACAAAGGAAGGUAAUGCUGUGUAAGGCCAAGAUGCUUUUAACAACUUUGCCGGGUUGCCGUUGCUUUCACUGUCUUCCAAAGAACUGAUGUUCUUUUCUCAAAGAGGAAAAGUCUGGUUGCCACCUGACAAACAAUUCACGCCUCGAUGACGGUUGCCUGGGAGCUGCAAACUGAAGUUGAACCCAUUCGCGGAAGCUCUGUUUCCAAAGAGAAAGAAGAGAAAAAAGUUCGGCAGAACAGGCGGUCUUUUCUUUGGUCGCUUUGACACGAGGACUCUCUUUAGCCGUUGAUUUACAAGAACGCUGAAUUGCUACAUUAUGCCGUUCCUUUUUGCCCCUGCGGUUAAUCUUUGUGUCUGGCAGAUGAAGCUGGGCAUUCGCAUGGUUUGACUGAGAAAAGUGGAUUCCCAACUACAGGUCGUGUUUUGUUCCUGCCUCGGUUUUGGAGCUUUUUUUAGUGGGUCUGAGCCACCGGCGCUGGCGGAUCCGGAGAGGGAGCAGUACAUCACCAGAGCCGCGUCCACGCCCCUCCCAACCGGGAGUUAUGGCCUGGCCUCGGAUGAGAUAUCUGCUUUAAAAUGUGACACGAGAGGAAGAUUUAAAUACCUGCAAAAAAAAAAAAAAAUGUCCUGCACCACGGUGAAGACAGCAUGCCCUUGUUGAAAGCGGUGCUACGGGAGAUUAACUCGGCUCCAGCACCUCCCCUCGGGCCAGGCUUCAGCCCCGGAUGGUGCCUUCUCCCAUAUUCCUCAUGGGAACAACGUGGCCUCACUGCCUGCUGGCAUUUUUAAGUGUUCAGCACAAUGGUUGUUAGUUUGCUUAUGAUUGACGAUUAGUUUUUCUACCUAUCCAAAGCCGUAAAAAAAAAAAAAAAAAAACGCCUCCUUUUUAUGAUUUACUAAGUUGGGAAUAAGUGGCCAUCUGUGGCUUGCUAUGAAAAAGGGGCCAAAUCACUGACACAUGUGCAAUUACUGAAGCAUCCUACUGCACAACCGGGAGUCAUUCUGCGGAUACUUUUUGAAUUAUAGCCAGUG